rnacentral:rRNA from 1 species
CGCGUAGGCGGUUAGAUCAGUCGGGUGUGAAAGCCCCGGGCUCAACCUGGGAACUGCAUUCGAUACUGUCUGACUGGAGUAUGGGAGAGGGUAGUGGAAUUCCAUGUGUAGCGGUGAAAUGCGUAGAUAUGUGGAGGAACACCAGUGGCGAAGGCGACUGCCUGGCCCAAUACUGACGCUGAGGUGCGAAAGCGUGGGGAGCGAACAGGAUUAGAUACCCUGGUAGUCC